rnacentral:lncRNA from 1 species
AUCUUCAUGGUUAUGGAUAAACUCUUCUCUAGAGAAGUGAUACAUCUUCAUGGUUUAUCCUCAAGCAUAGUGUUGAAUAGAGCUCCAAAUUUCGCAAACCAUGAUUUGAGGAUUUCCUUUGGAAAACUUGCAACUAAGUUGCACACUUUAAAUUCUUAUCAUCCUCAAACGCAUGGUCAAAAUACAUUUGACAAUCUAGCUCUUUCUACUAUGCCUAGAAUAAUCAUGAU